CCUACGGGAGGCAGCAGUGAGGAAUAUUGGUCAAUGGACGAGAGUCUGAACCAGCCAAGUAGCGUGAAGGAUGACUGCCCUAUGGGUGGUAAACUUCUUUUAUAAAGGAAUAAAACGACGCACGUGUGCCUUUUUGCAUGUACUUUAUGAAUAAGGAUCGGCUAACUCCGUGCCAGCAGCCGCGGUAAUACGGAGGAUCCGAGCGUUAUGCGGAUUUAUUGGGUUUAAAGGGAGCGUAGAUGGGUUGUUAAGUCAGUUGUGAAAGCUUGCGGCUCAACGGUAAAAUUGCAAUUGAUACUGGCAGUCUUGAGUACAGGUGAGGUAGGCGGAAUUCGUGGUGUAGCGGUGAAAUGCUUAGAUAUCACGAAGAACCCCGAUGGCGAAGGCAGCUUACUAAACUGUGACUGACAUUGAUGCUCGAAAGUGUGGGUAUCAAACAGGAUUAGAUACCCGGGUAGUC
rnacentral:rRNA from 1 species